CAUCUUCCUCUACUUUAUAUGUGGGAUGCCCGCCACAUCAUGGCUUGCCAAGCAGUGUCACGUCCGCACCGGGGAACUGAACCGGUGAACCCUGGGCCACCAAAGUGGAACAUGGGAACUUAACCACUGCGCCACCAGGCCGGCCCCAACCUGGGACCUUCUUAUCUACUCAAGUAACACCUUUUAGCACUUUGGAUCCUCCCUAUGCAAGGCACCCAUUGUCUCCUGCGGCCUGGUGGAAAACAUCCACAGCAUAGGAUGGAUCAUGCUUACUCAACUCUGGCUGGGAUAAAAUGGUUUUAGCUGGGAUAAAGCCUCAUUGUUAACUUCAGAAUAGAGGGAAUUUUGGACAGAGACACACAGGGAAGAAAGCCAUGUGAAGAUGGAGGCAGAGAUUGGAGUGAUGCAUCUACGGACCAAGGAACACCAAGGAUUGCCAGCAACUACUAGAAGGUAACAAGAGGCCGAGAAGGAUUUUUCCCUAGAGCCUACCCCAUGACUCUGCCGCUAUCUUGAUUUCAGACUUCUAGUCUCCAGAACUGUGAAAACAUUUUUUUCUGUUGUUUUCAGUUACUCAGUUUGUGGUUCUUUGUUUUGGAAGGCCUAGGAAACUAAUACAAUGCAUUUGUAAUUUUGAUAAAUAUUUCUGGGUUACCCUUCAUGGACAAUUACCAUGUGCCCUCUCCCCAGCACAGCAUGGCAAUGAUUGUUAUUCUUUAGCCUCACCAACAGAAGAUAUUGUUAAAUUUCUGGGUUGCUGCUCUUCUGAUAGGUGAUAAAUGAUACUUCAGUGUAGUUUUAUAUUUUCCUUUUCAUGAGUGAGUAACUAUCUUCUCAUAUUUUAAGGGCUAUUAAUAUCUCUUUUUCUGUGAAUUCUCUGUUUAUAUCUUUUGCCAUUCUUUCUGUUUGUUAUUGUCAUUUUUGUUCCAAUUUAUAGUUAUAUUAGGGGAUUACUGCUUUGUGAUAUGUAUUGCAAAUAUCUUUUCCCGUUUAUC
rnacentral:lncRNA from 1 species